rnacentral:lncRNA from 1 species
GCUUUUCGGUUUGUGGUAAAGCAGGGCGCGGCUGCAUCGUGGUUUGUUGGUGAAUAGCAUGUUGUCUCCUUCCGCGCGAGGCUAGCUGCAAGCAACCUGCAGCAAGGGAUACGGUACGGUAGAAACCUGGUAUAAAUGCAUGGUGCCAAGGUUAAGCAAUGUGAUUGCUGAGCUCGAUGCGCUUUACGAGUCAGUCACCAUAUGUACAUCGCUUGGGUGCGGUGCACGCGCUGACAUGCGUACGGUACCAUCAGCGAUUAUAGAGAGGCACCACCAGGCCAACAGAGCUGUGCAUGUGCGUGCGUGCAGCUGUGUGCAGCGCGGCAAUUGGGUGCGAUGGGACAGGGUAAGGGGCAGGUUGGGGCCAUGCAUCCGUCGACAAGUUGCGAGCUUGCGGUGCUUGUAAUCCCAAUGCUUGCAAUCCGGAUCCGGCAGGCCCUCAGCAACGCUGGCAACAUCACAAUUCCCAAUUUGUACGCCCUUAGCACAUGCAGCGAAGCUUCUGACCCAGCGCCCGCAUAUGUUGGGUGGGUGGGUGCCCGUGUUGGAGUGUCCAGUGGCCGCCGCAGCUGAUGCCCAGCGCCUUUCGCUGCCACAUAUUCUUUGGACUCAGCCGCGCCUUCCUUCGCCGGUCUGGUAUACAUUCUUUGCUCUAAGAAGAAGCAAAGCCUGUAGAAAGAAACAGCCUCCUCCAUGCCUACUCUUGACGACAUGACACAUGACGCAACCUAAUAAACUGUAUCUCUACCACAAGGGGGUAAGGGGAGGGUCCGGGGCCAGGAGGAACAAUCAGGGGUGACCAGGCUGUUGAUCUGCGGCACAGAGACGUAAAAUCCCAGGAGUUAGCAACAACGUCUACAGUCCAUGGUGCUAUCUCUCAGCCAGAGAGCAGAGAUCGUCUGUACCCUAGAAAUUUGAACCAAACUUGUUUGGGGCUUGCCGGCUUGGGCCACACGGGUACAACGCCGGUCUCGGAGAGGGGUCAAAUGGGCACUGGGCACGGCACUGGGGUUCUGGUACAUCUCACCUUUGACAUUAUGUGACCUGUGCGCGUUUACAGAUUGGUUACAGGCCCGUUUACAGAUUGCUAUACGUACGCACAUUGAUUCUCUUGACGUGGUCCAGACGUUCGAGUCGAGGACUCUCGCGAUUGCACCCGUGAACAUCGCUCUCCAAACACCCUCCAAACGUCUCCAAUUUGCUACCUCUUCCUGGGCUGUCGUUUCUAGGUACAGGUCAUAACCACGCGAUACAGGUCACAUUCUUGAACAGAUGGCGUCAGAGAUGGCGUCGAUUGACCCGGUGCUCCACAACGCCGAGGACCCGUCUUCGGUGCUCGUGGGCGGAAACCAACCGAUGAAGCAGCAGGAGCAGUCCGCGCGGCCAUUGUGCCGCUGGGCAGGGUCGGCCAGAAAAAAGGCGGGCAGCAACCCUGUCGUCUGCUGCAACCCCAGCUGUCACACGAGGCGCAUGAUUCUGCAGUAUCGCUGCAUCUGCGCCCCCUGCGGACUCUACUUCUGCUCAGCCAGCUGCAUUAGGGACGGGCAUGUGCGCCGCAGAGGAGGAUGCGUGCUAACGGCGGCGGAAUCCGACGUGCGGAACGACGUGCGGUGGCGACUGCAGGAGCGGCGGCCCCUCACAGCCGCAGCCGCGGGAAUGUCGCGGUUGGCUAAUACGUUGGCGGCCCGCGCGGCGUGCGCCCCCGAGGGCUGCCGCGGUCAGGUGGCCAGCGUUGCAGCAUGCAUCCGCACCCUGGUGGGCAGGCGCGACGGCUACAACCAGCAUUGUGUGCAUAUCAGGGACGGCGCGGCUUGCAGCGUGUGCCGCCACCAGGUGCUGUUCGUGGGCUACGCGUACCCCAAAUGGCAGCAGGAGCCCCAGAAGCCGCCGAAGAGGCAAAAGAUGGCCGCGGGACAGGAGCAGGAGCAGGAGCGGGAGCAGGAGCAGUGGGUGAUCACGAGCCGCGGCUUGGGCGAUGAAGUGCUGUGCGGCGUGUGCGGCGCAUGGCAGCAGCUGUGGCACGACCAGCAGCGGCAAGGCCUGCGGCAGCCGGGCUCGGACCAUGCCGGCCCCGAACCGUCGGUGGCAGUCGCCACCACCUCCGGCAGCAGCGGCAGCGACAGCCCCGAUGACAGCGGCGGGCCCUUCCACCGGGGGCUGCGUCUGCGCUCGCUAGUUCCGGCGCCGGGGCCGGCCCUGGUGCGCGUGACGGCGCUUCACAAGCUGGGCCGGUCACUGGUGACGGACGUGCUGUUAAACCAGACGCUGUGUGGGCAGCAAGCACUGGUACAGCCGUUGGACAGCCAGAAGCCCACGGUCGAACCCGUGGCUGCCUUCCUGCGGCGCCACAAGGAGCAGCAGCAGCGCGGGCGUGGGGCCAGCAGCAGUGGCAAGGAUGGCAUUGGCGGCGGCACAAACAGCGACCAGGGUGAGCAGGCGUCCGCCGCCGAACAGGAUCAGGAUCAGAAUCAGGACCGGGACCAGCCCGAGGUGCCUGUAUGGGCUGCUGGUCCCACGCAGGUGAGGCGGGGAGCGCUGGGAAGGGCGUGACAGUCGGGGAGAUGGUGCGGGGCGGUGCGGGGUGUUGAUCAACGUCUGUAGACACAUGGGGCCUGGCCAUGUGUGCCUGCCGCCUGCGUGUGCACGCAGGCGCACCCGGCGGGCGCCGCAGACGUGCUUGUGGAGCUGCCCUACUUCCAGGACUUCGACACAGGCAUGGCCGACGCCAUGUCGGUGCUGAUGGCGCAGCCCAGGCUGCCCGACGCUCUCCAGCGGCCGCCCUACGACCGGUACCAUCUCCUGGUGCCCACCGCUGCGGCGGCGGCUCCGGCUGCCAGCAGUCACCAGUCGCGCUUGCUGCGCCUGCUGCGCGUGUUGGCGCCGCCCAACCCGCUGCUGCAGGCGCCCGACGUGGUGCGCCGCAGCGCCCGCACCUCCUGCAGGCUGAUCAUCGCGCCUCAGGCGCUGGUCGCGCGGUCCACAGACGGAGGCGGCGAGGCCGCGGCUGCGACCGCCUCGAUGCGGACCAGCAGGCGGGGGGCUGCGGGCGCUGCUGCUGCUGCUGCCGCCGCUGGGGGAAGCGGCGGCCAUGGGGCCCCGCCGGCGGAGCAGGGUCAGCAGCCUUGCGGGCAGCCCCACACGCGCGCGCAGCAAAGGGCGCUGAUGCCCCGCUUCAGGGGCGGUGUGACGGGCAUGCACCUGGACCCGACGCGGACGUGCAACCUGGCCAUGGCGCCGGCCAGCAUGUCGCCCGAGGAGCGGCGCACGCUGGUGCUCGCCAGGUGGGUCUGCGUCUCGCCGGCGGGCCUGGCGCGGAUGCUGCAGGCGGUGUACAGCCUGCUGCAGACGGAGCCAGCGGCGGCGGUGCUCGCAAAGGUGCAGCUCUGCCCCGGCCUGCUGCUGGGCAAGGGCAGCCGCAUGCUGUUCACCGCCGACGGCGCGGCGUGGCUGCGCGAGCGGCUGCUGCCGGGCGAGGUGCUCGAGCUGGAGCAGCGGCACGGAGAGGUGGUGGAGGUGCCGACGGGCUGGGCGCACCAGGUGGUGAACGAGCACACCUGCGUCAAGCUGGCGUUCGACCGCAGCUGCCUGCUGGACGUGGCCGCCGACUUUGAGCUGUUGCACCUGGUCCGCGAGGUGGACGCGCGCCUGCCGCCGGACGCCGCCGUGACCGCCACCGCGCUGCUGCUGGACGACACGCCGCGGGUGGAGCAGACCAUGCUGGACGCGCUUGAUUGGCUGUUGGUGUCAAGCAAUUAAGGACGCCUUAUAGGUCCCCUGAUGAGAGCACCAGCCGCACACGCCCCGUGUACGUCCAGCAGCAGUUGCACCACUAAGGCAGCCUGAUGAUGAUGUGGCUGUGUGUUGCCACUGGGGAAAUUUUACAUGUUGCGUGUGCGGUGUGGUGACUGUUCUUACCCUAUGCUGCUGGGGGGUUGAGGCUGUACGCGUGGUGUAGCGCUGUAUGUGUACGGUAGUAAGACGUAAACGCGUCUGUAGCACAUGUGGCUGUACGUGCGCAGUGAAGUCAAAACAUAAUUAUGUGAGUCUAAGCCUGUAAGAAGGGUGUUUGGAAGCUGCUUUUACAGGGAUUUGUGGCGGAGGUAAUUGGCUGGCUUUCGCAGCGUUCAGUGAUGGCCACAGCAGCCCAAAUUGCAAACAACAAAAUACAGCUACGGCAAGGACGCCACAGGCGGCCAUAGCGCAUGGCAUGGCCAGUGCCACCGCGCGGCUUAUCGUGGCUUAUUAAGUUAUCAGUUGGCCAUUGUUCCAAAAUGUACAUGGUAGUGUCUCUGGUGGGGGCAUCCGAGCAGAUGGAUCCAAUAAUACGAUCCGUGUGUGUUUUGCACGUUGUGCCCGCCGUUCGCUCGCUGGAGCCCCUAAGGCGCGUGGCGCCCGUGCGUGGCACCUGCCACUCGCUUUUCUGAUUGUGAUGAAGCAAGGUGCGGCUAUAUCGUUGGUUUAUUUGGUAUAUAGCAUGUUGUCUCCUUCCGCAAGCUGCAACCAACCUGCAGCAAGGGAUACGGUAUGGUAUAGACCGGGUAUAAAUGCAUGGUGCCAAGGUUAAGCAAUGUGAUUGCUGAGCUCGAUGCGCUUUACGAGUCAGCCACCAUACAUCGCUUGGGUGCGGUGCACGCG